GACGAACGCUGGCGGCGUGCUUAACACAUGCAAGUCGAACGGAAAGACCCUGCUUUCUUGUGGUUCUCGAGUGGCGAACGGGUGAGUAACACGUGAGUAUCCUUCCCUUGACUUUGGGACAUCUUCAGGCAACUGCUGCUAAUACCUGAUAGGUGCUGCUGCUAGAUGGUGGGCGUUGGACCUUUUCGUCGGUUGUGGAUGGACUCGCGGCUCAUCAGCUUGUUGGUGGGGUAGUGGCUUACCAAGGCCUUGUCGGGUAGCCUGCAUGAGAGGGUGACCGGGGACAAUGGGACUGAGAUAGGGCCAAGACUAGUACGGGAGGCAGCAGUGGGGAGUAUUGAACAAUGGGCGGCAGCGUGAUGAAGCAACGCUGCGAGUGGGAUGCCGGCCUUGGGGUGGUGAACCGCUUUAGCUUAUGACGAAGCGUGAGUGACGGUAAUGGGUAAAGAAGCACCGGCUAACUUCGUG
rnacentral:rRNA from 1 species